rnacentral:rRNA from 1 species
AGGUGCCAGGCCCGUAGAAACAAAUAAAUACUUUUGAAUAACCUUUCUUUAAAGUCGGGUUGCUUGAGAGUGUAACCUUAAGUGGGUGGUAAGUUCCAUCUAAGGCUAAAUAUAACCACGAGACCGAUAGCAAACAAGUACCGUGAGGGAAAGUUGAAAAGAACUUUGAAGAGAGAGUUCAAAAGUACGUGAAACCGUUUAGGGGUAAACGGAAAAGAACUAAAAAUCCGAAAAGGGAGAUUCACGUCUUCUCAUAUGUUAAAUAUAAUAAUUUUUAAGGAUAAUUAAUAAUGUAAUACUUUUGUAUUAGUAUAAUUAAUUGCCUUUAUUUAUUAUAAAAUAACAAUGGUAGACCGCACUUCUCUCUUAGUAGGACGUCGCGACCCGCUAGUUUAUAAUUAUAAGAAUAUAUUAUUUAGUUUUGUUAGAAUAUAAUAUUUUUAUAUUAUAUUGUAAUACAAAGAUAUGUAUCUAAUAUUUUUAAUUUUUUAAUUAUUAUUAAAUAACAACAUUGUUUGAUUAUUUAUAAUGUUAAUUAUAAAUAUUUGAUUUUGAAACAGACUUACAACACUAGUCAGCGGCGCUACAGUUUUAGUAACUUUUCCGACCCGUCUUGAAACACGGACCAAGGAGUCUAACAUGUGCGCAAGUCAUUUGGUUUAAUAAACCAAAAGGCAUAACAAAAGUGCGAGUAAAGGCACACCUAGAGCGUACACGUUGGGACCCGAAAGAUGGUGAACUAUGCCUGGCCAGGAUGAAGCCAGGGGAAACCCUGGUGGAGGUCCGUAGCGAUUCUGACGUGCAAAUCGAUCGUCAGAGCUAGGUAUAGGGGCGAUAGACUUAUCGAACUAUCUAGUAGCUGGUUCCUUCCGAAGUUUCCCUCAGGAUAGCUGGUGUCAAUGAUGAUUAGAGUCUCAUCUGGUAAAGCGAAUGAUUAGAGGCCUUGGGGCCGAAACGACCUCAACCUAUUCUCAAACUUUAAAUGGAUGAGAGCCUUGGCUUGCUUAAAAGUGAAGCCAAGGAUUCGGAUCUAGAUGCCAAGUGGGCCAAUUUUGGUAAGCAGAACUGGUGCUGUGGGAUGAACCAAACGCAAAGUUAAGGCGCCUGAAUCAACGCUCAUGAGACACCAUGAAAGGCGUUGGUUGCUUAAGACAGCAGGGCGGUGGCCAUGGAAGUCGGAAUCCGCUAAGGAGUGUGUAACAACUCACCUGCCGAAGCAACUAGCCCUGAAAAUGGAUGGCGCUGUAGCGUUGUGCCUAUACUUUGCCGUUAACGGCAAAUAUGGCAAAUAUAUAUAAUAUAUUGUGCUAUUAAGCCUUAACGAGUAGGAAGGUCGCAGCGAUGUGCGUAGAAGGGUCUGGGUGUAAACCUGCCUGGAGCCGUCGCUGGUGCAGAUCUUGGUGGUAGUAGCAAAUACUCCAGCGAGGACCUGGAGGACUGUUGUGGAGAAGGGUUUCUUGUGAACAGCUGUUGCACAAGAGUCAGUCGAUCCUAAGCUCUAGGAGAAAUCCAAUGUUGAUAGAUGCCCUAAUUUGAAAGGCAUCUGUAGAGCGAAAGGGAAUCUGGUUCCUAUUCCAGAACCUGGUAGCGGAACMGUUUCAAAUUCGAGCCCUUUAAUGAGCUUGUCGGGGUAACCCAAAAAGACCCGGAGACGCCGUUGGAAGGUUUGGGGAGAGUUGUCUCUUCUCUAUAAGCGUUCGAGUUCCCUGGAAUCCUCUAGCAGGGAGAUAGGGUUUGGAACGCGAAGAGCAUCGCAGUUACGGCGGUGUCCAAAUCUUUCCUUCGGACCUUGAAAAUCCGGGCGAGGGCUACGAGGAACACCGCACCAGAUCGUACCCAUAUCCGCAGCAGGUCUCCAAGGUGAAUAGCCUCUAGUCGAUAGAAUAAUGUAGGUAAGGGAAGUCGGCAAGCUUGAUCCGUAACUUCGGGAUAAGGAUUGGCUCUGAGGAUCGUGGCGUGCUGGGCUUGGUUGGGAAGUGGAGCGGUGUCAAUUAGCCGGGCCUGGGCAAAGUAAACAGUUUUUACUGUUAAUCUAAGCUCGGUCCCGUGCCUUGGCCACCCAUGGAUCUUCCUUGCAAUAGGCUUCACAAUUGUCAGUUACUAAGUUUUAUCUUGGUAAAACGGAUUGUGGGUCUUUUCGGCCGCCUUUUAACGAUCAACUCAGAACUGACACGGACAAUGGGAUUCCGACUGUCUAAUUAAAACAAAGUAUUGCGAUGGCCCCAAACGGGUGUUGACGCAAUAUGAUUUCUGCCCAGUGCUCUGAAUGUCAAUGUGAAGAAAUUCAAGUAAGCGCGGGUAAACGGCGGGAGUAACUAUGACUCUCUUAAGGUAGCCAAAUGCCUCGUCAUCUAAUUAGUGACGCGCAUGAAUGGAUUAACGAGAUUCCCAUCUGUCCCUAUCUACUAUCUAGCGAAACCACUGCCAAGGGAACGGGCUUGGAAAAAUUAGCGGGGAAAGAAGACCCUGUAGAGCUUGACUCUAGUCUGGUACUGUAAGG